rnacentral:rRNA from 1 species
AUUGAACGCCGGCGGCAUGCUUUACACAUGCAAGUCGAACGGCAGCGCGGGCUUCGGCCUGGCGGCGAGUGGCGAACGGGUGAGUAAUGCAUCGGAACGUGCCCAGUAGUGGGGGAUAGCCCGGCGAAAGCCGGAUUAAUACCGCAUACGACCUGAGGGUGAAAGCGGGGGACCGAAAGGCCUCGCGCUAUUGGAGCGGCCGAUGUCGGAUUAGCUAGUUGGUGGGGUAAAGGCUUACCAAGGCGACGAUCCGUAGCUGGUCUGAGAGGACGACCAGCCACACUGGGACUGAGACACGGCCCAGACUCCUACGGGAGGCAGCAGUGGGGAAUUUUGGACAAUGGGGGCAACCCUGAUCCAGCCAUGCCGCGUGCGGGAAGAAGGCCUUCGGGUUGUAAAACGCUUUUGUUCGGGAAGAAAUCCUCUGGGCUAAUACCCCGGGGGGAUGACGGUACCGGAAGAAUAAGCACCGGCUAACUACGUG